AGAGUUUGAUCAUGGCUCAGAUUGAACGCUGGCGGCAUGCUUAAUACAUGCAAGUCGGACGGUAACAGAUUCUUCGGAAUGCUGACGAGUGGCGGACGGGUGAGUAAUACAUAGGAAUCUGCCCAUGUAGUGGGGGACAACUUGGAGAAACUCAAGCUAAUACCGCAUAAUUCCUACGGGAUAAAGAGGGCCACUGCUUGCAAGCUCUUGCUACUGGAUGAGCCUAUGUCGGAUUAGUUAGUUGGUAAGGUAAUGGCUUACCAAGACAGCGAUCCGCAGCUGGUUUGAGAGGAUGAUCAGCCACACUGGGACUGAGACACGGCCCAGACUCCUACGGGAGGCAGCAGUAGGGAGUAUUGGACAAUGGGCGCAAGCCUGAUCCAGCAAUGCCGCGUGUGUGAAGAAGGCCUGCGGGUUGUAAAGCACUUUCAAUUGGGAAGAAAGAUUAUGAGUUAAUACCUUAUAA
rnacentral:rRNA from 1 species